AGAGUUUGAUCAUGGCUCAGAACGAACGCUGGCGGCAGGCCUAACACAUGCAAGUCGAACGCUCCAGCAAUGGAGAGUGGCAGACGGGUGAGUAACGCGUGGGAACCUUCCCAGUGGUACGGAAUAGCCCAGGGAAACUUGGGGUAAUACCGUAUAAGCCCCAUGGGGGAAAGAUUUAUCGCCAUUGGAUGGGCCCGCGUCGGAUUAGCUAGUUGGUGAGGUAAUGGCUCACCAAGGCGACGAUCCGUAGCUGGUCUGAGAGGAUGAUCAGCCACACUGGGACUGAGACACGGCCCAGACUCCUACGGGAGGCAGCAGUGGGGAAUAUUGGACAAUGGGCGCAAGCCUGAUCCAGCCAUGCCGCGUGGGUGAUGAAGGCCUUAGGGUUGUAAAGCCCCUUCGGCGGGGAAGAUAAUGACGGUACCCGCAGAAGAAGCCCCGGCUAACUUCGUGCCAGCAGCCGCGGUAAUACGAAGGGGGUUAGCGUUGCUCGGAAUCACUGGGCGUAAAGCGCACGUAGGCGGAUUGCUAAGUCAGGGGUGAAAUCCUGGAGCUCAACUCCAGAACUGCCCUUGAUACUGGCGACCUUGAGUCCGGGAGAGGUGAGUGGAACUGCGAGUGUAGAGGUGAAAUUCGUAGAUAUUCGCAAGAACACCAGUGGCGAAGGCGGCUCACUGGCCCGGUACUGACGCUGAGGUGCGAAAGCGUGGGGAGCAAACAGGAUUAGAUACCCUAGUAGUCC
rnacentral:rRNA from 1 species